GGCGAACGGGUGAGUAAUGCAUCGGAACGUGCCCAAUCGUGGGGGAUAACGCAGCGAAAGCUGUGCUAAUACCGCAUACGAUCUAUGGAUGAAAGCGGGGGACCUUCGGGCCUCGCGCGAUUGGAGCGGCCGAUGUUAGAUUAGGUAGUUGGUGGGGUAAAGGCUCACCAAGCCGACGAUCUAUAGCUGGUCUGAGAGGACGACCAGCCACACUGGAACUGAGACACGGUCCAGACUCCUACGGGAGGCAGCAGUGGGGAAUUUUGGACAAUGGGCGCAAGCCUGAUCCAGCAAUACCGCGUGCAGGAAGAAGGCCUUCGGGUUGUAAACUGCUUUUGUACGGAACGAAAAGGCUCUUUCUAAUAAAGAGGGCUCAUGACGGUACCGUAAGAAUAAGCACCGGCUAACUACGUGCCAGCAGCCGCGGUAAUACGUAGGGUGCGAGCGUUAAUCGGAAUUACUGGGCGUAAAGCGUGC
rnacentral:rRNA from 1 species